AAAAGCUACAUAAAAUCUCUGUGAUUUCAUAGGGCGAAGCCGCCCGCAUGCAGCAUGGAGGCUAUUUUACUCAUGGGCAUCAAAUAGCAAUGGAAUGGUAAACAAAUAAUUGCGUGGUGGAACGUCAGGACCGUCAGACCUGCAAAUUACUUCUACAGGCUUGAAUAAGGUAUGUUUGAAUGGAAGAGAAAUUACAUGAAAAAAAUUAUUUUUUAUUAUUGGAUCAUGCUACCCCGAUCAGUAUCCUCAGCUCUCAUCCU
rnacentral:lncRNA from 1 species